rnacentral:rRNA from 1 species
GAUGAACGCUGGCGGCGUGCCUAAUACAUGCAAGUCGAGCGAACAGACGAGGAGCUUGCUCCUCUGACGUUAGCGGCGGACGGGUGAGUAACACGUGGAUAACCUACCUAUAAGACUGGGAUAACUUCGGGAAACCGGAGCUAAUACCGGAUAAUAUAUUGAACCGCAUGGUUCAAUAGUGAAAGACGGUUUUGCUGUCACUUAUAGAUGGAUCCGCGCCGCAUUAGCUAGUUGGUAAGGUAACGGCUUACCAAGGCAACGAUGCGUAGCCGACCUGAGAGGGUGAUCGGCCACACUGGAACUGAGACACGGUCCAGACUCCUACGGGAGUCAGCAGUAGGGAAUCUUCCGCAAUGGGCGAAAGCCUGACGGAGCAACGCCGCGUGAGUGAUGAAGGUCUUCGGAUCGUAAAACUCUGUUAUUAGGGAAGAACAAAUGUGUAAGUAACUAUGCACGUCUUGGCGGUACCUAAUCAGAAAGCCACGGCUAACUACGUG